GUCUAUGGCCCAACCACCCUGAACGCGCCCAGUCUCGUCCGAUCUCGGAAGCUAAGCAGGGUUGGGCCGGUUAGUACUUAGAUGGAACAAUUAGGAUUGGGGCCCCUGACU
rnacentral:rRNA from 1 species